rnacentral:rRNA from 1 species
UUUAGGCUAUUACCUAAACUGGCCCCAAAGGUGAAGAGAUACUCUCUCUGUAUGGUCACGCACUGAAGCCAAGCAGGGCUGUGCCUGGUCAGUUCCUGAAUGGGAGACUACAUAGGAAAGCUAGGUUGCUGCUGGAA